rnacentral:rRNA from 1 species
AUUGAACGCUGGCGGCAGGCCUAACACAUGCAAGUCGAACGAGUGGCGGACGGGUGAGUAAUGUUUGGGAAUCUGCCUUAUGGAGGGGGAUAACUACGGGAAACGGUAGCUAAUACCGCGUACCAUAGGAUGAGCCCAAAUGGGAUUAGGUAGUUGGUGGGGUAAAGGCUCACCAAGGCGACGAUCUCUAGCUGGUCUGAGAGGAUGACCAGCCACACUGGAACUGAGACACGGCCCAGACGCCUACGGGAGGCAGCAGUGGGGAAUAUUGCGCAAUGGGCGCAAGCCUGAUGCAGCCAUGCCGCGGGUAUGAAGAAGGCCUUCGGGUUGUAAAGUACUUUCAGCGGGGAGGCGUUAACCGCAGAAGAAGCACCGGCUAACUCCGUGCCAGCAGCCGCGGUAAUUC